rfam:Cathartes aura contig173080, whole genome shotgun sequence.
CCAAAGGCUCUUUUAAGAGCCACCCACUUUCUCUUUCGAAAGAGUU